rnacentral:lncRNA from 1 species
GCAAUCGCUGCCUGGGCGCCGCCGCCGCCCCCGGGGCUGCUCCGGCCGUGGCCCGAGUUUGGGGUGAAAAGAGCCCGGUUUGGGGGUCGUCCAUGGGGGAUUUUACCCCGGGCAUCUCUCGCACAGCCCGGCUGGGCUCGGUGCCGGCGCGCAUCCAGCUCGGCGCGGGGCUUGGCAAAUAACGCCCGCGGUGCCAAAACAGGACGCAGGCUGCUGUGCCCCCUCGGUUGGCACCAAACCUCCAGCAUCGGCGCUGCACAAACCUGGCGCCCCGCUCUGCCAAAAGCUCUGGCGUUGGGCCCUCGGCAGCGGAGAGCCGGGAGGCGCGGCGGUGCUGCCGCCAGACCUCGCCGCUCGCUAACGGGGCGCAGCGGCUGCGCCGUCAGCUCUGAUCCACACAAGCUGUUCCUCGCUCCGCGGCGUGCGGCCGGGUCACCCGGCUGUCUGCGUGCUGCUCGCCCCCGCCGUCUGUCCGUGUCCCCGCCGUCUGUCCGUGCCCCCGGCAGGCCCUUGGCAGGCUUUGGGGGCUGCUCCGCGUGCGGGGCCGGCUCGGAGCCAGCUCAGCCCGUGCUGGGUUCGUUCCCAAGGCCGGGGGCCCCGGUGCUGGCUGCUGCAGCGAGGGGUCCCGGGGGAGGCCGGGGAGGGUUUUGCUGCUGGCGUGCACGUGCGGAGCUGGGCCUGCAUCAGCAGCCAGAGGUGCGUCCCGAAGCCGCUUCCUUUUCUGCAAUACGCAUUUUGGGUGCUUUGCACACCUUGGCUGAGCGCUGCUGGAGGUCUGAACAGCCCCCGGGCUCCGGGAAAAGGGGGGAGCUCGGGGGGAGCUCGGGGGGAGCUCAGCCUUCCUGUCCUGCAGCCCUCCCUGAGCCCCGAUUCCCACUUUUGCUGCAGGGGACGUUCAGCCUGGAGGCGCUGCUCCCACCCUGCCUGCGGGCUGGGGCCCUGAUAAGGAGGGGAAAUCGCUCUGCUUGGAACAGGAGCAACGCUCUGUGAAGGGAUGGGGUGCUCAGGGGGGAGCAGAGCUGCCCCAGCCUGUGCUCCCACCCAUGCAGGGCUCCUAAAAUUGGUCCUGCUGCCCCUCCACGGCUGACAGCAGGACGGGGGGACCAUGGCAGGGAGGGCACCGCGCUCGGAGCUGAGCAGAGCUGGCUCCCACCACUGGGCAGAGCCCUGAGGAGCUCCCAGUCUGAGCAGCACCAAGCCACAAAACCAAUCUGCC